rnacentral:rRNA from 1 species
GACGAGGGACCCUAGCGUUGUUCGGAAUCACUGGGCUUAAAGGGCGCGUAGGCGGCUUGCCAAGUCGGGGGUGAAAUACUUCAGCUUAACUGGAGAAGUGCCUUCGAUACUGGCGGGCUUGAGGGAGGUAGGGGUCUUUGGAACUUCUGGUGGAGCGGUGAAAUGCGUUGAUAUCAGAAGGAACGCCGGUGGCGAAAGCGAAGGACUGGACCUCUCUGACGCUGAGGCGCGAAAGCUAGGGGAGCAAACGGGGAUUAAGAAACC